rnacentral:rRNA from 1 species
CAAUAGCGUAUAUUAAAGUUGUUGCAGUUAAAAAGCUCGUAGUUGGAUUUCUGGUGGGAGCGAUCGGUCUGGCGCUUAGCGCGAGUACUUGCAUCGUCUCCGGCCAUCCUUGGGGAGAGUCUGUCUGGCAUUAGGUUGUCGGGCAGAGGAUCCUCACCGUUUACUGUGAAAAAAUUAGAGUGUUCAAAGCAGGCUUAUGCCGUUGAAUAUAUUAGCAUGGAAUAAUAAGAUAGGACUUUGGUACUAUUUUGUUGGUUUGCGCACCAAAGUAAUGAUUAAUAGGGACAGUUGGGGGUAUUCGUAUUCCGUUGUCAGAGGUGAAAUUCUUGGAUUUACGGAAGACGAACUACUGCGAAAGCAUUUACCAAGGAUGUUUUCAUUAA